rnacentral:lncRNA from 1 species
ACGCGUUCGGUGGUCACACAGUCCCCGAGAUCAUUGAAUGGGCAAACUUGUCGGCCAGUCCCCGAGCGUAUCAUGCUCGGUGGUCAGUACUGUAAUAGAACCGCCCAAAUUAUAAGAGAUUAAGUCUGAUAGUAACCAUUUGUGCAGUCGAACCAUCGAGAUUAAGCCCAUAUAAUCCCGGUAGUCCGUGAAAUCUCGAAGGAUUUCAAACCAUAACUCAUACAUACAGCCA